rnacentral:rRNA from 1 species
GAUGAACGCUGGCGGCGUGCUUAACACAUGCAAGUCGAACGAAGCACUUUAACUUGAUUCUUCGGAUGAAGGUUUUUGUGACUGAGUGGCGGACGGGUGAGUAACGCGUGGGUAACCUGCCUCAUACAGGGGGAUAACAGUUAGAAAUGACUGCUAAUACCGCAUAAGACCACAGAGUCGCAUGACUUGGUGGGAAAAACUCCGGUGGUAUGAGAUGGACCCGCGUCUGAUUAGGUAGUUGGUGGGGUAACGGCCUACCAAGCCAACGAUCCGUAGCCGACCUGAGAGGGUGACCGGCCACAUUGGGACUGAGACACGGCCCAAACUCCUACGGGAGGCAGCAGUGGGGAAUAUUGCACAAUGGGGGAAACCCUGAUGCAGCGACGCCGCGUGAGCGAAGAAGUAUUUCGGUAUGUAAAGCUCUAUCAGCAGGGAAGAAAAUGACGGUACCUGACUAAGAAGCACCGGCUAACUACGUGCCAGCCGCCGCCGUAA